AGAGUUUGAUCAUGGCUCAGAGUGAACGCUGGCGGCGUGGUUUAGGCAUGCAAGUCGAGCGCGAAAGGAUCCUUCGGGAUCCGAGUAGAGCGGCGAAAGGGUGAGUAAUGUAUAGGCAACGUACCCCUGGGACUGGGAUAGCUGCUGGAAACGGCAGGUAAUACCGGAUGGUCAGGUAGGACGGCAUCGUCUUUCCUGUAAAUGGUCCUUCUGCCUGGGGAGCGGCCUAUGCCCUAUUAGCUUGUUGGUGAGGUAACGGCUCACCAAGGCGACGAUGGGUAGCCGGACUGAGAGGUUGGCCGGUCACACUGGGACUGAGACACUGCCCAGACUCCUACGGGAGGCUGCAGUCGAGAAUCUUCUGCAAUGGACGCAAGUCUGACGGGGCGACGCCGCGUGUAGGAUGAAGGCCUUCGGGUUGUAAACUACUGUUGCGAGCUAGGAAGGCUGUGAGGAACAGAUGACCA
rnacentral:rRNA from 1 species